CUGUUCCAGCGCCAUCUACAGCGCUUCUAAAAACUUCUAGAACAAAAAAUUCCCUGGGGAAAUUUUCAUAACCUACGAUAAUCAAAGGAGAAGGUGGAAAUUAGCGAUUAACACUCCAUGAAAACACGCGAAAGAAUAGGAAUAUCGUGGUAACUUCAAUCUUUGGAAAAGAACACGUCCACUUUCGAAGUGAUAAAUCAUUUGUAUAAAAAAGAAUUUGUGACUCAUUGUGCGGAAAGGAAAACUACCGCCAGCAAUAUUAAGAAAAUCAAAGAACAGCAAUUGGAAUAAUCACCGGUACUGAUUGGUUGCCCACUCUAGAGUUAAAGUCAUCAACAAGACUUCUGCAGCUUCAGUUAAAAAUAAGACCGUGGGAAAAUGUCUGUGAUUGGAAUCGAUUUUGGCAAUGAGGGAUGCUAUGUUGCUGCUGCCAAGGCUGGGGGAAUUGAAACUCUUGCUAAUGAUUACAGUUUGCGCGCAACCCCGUUCUCUCCCUAACAAUUC
rnacentral:lncRNA from 1 species